CGGAGGAAAAGAAACCAACAGGGAUUGCCUCAGUAACGGCGAGUGAAGCGGCAACAGCUCAAAUUUGAAAUCUGGCCCUAGGCCCGAGUUGUAAUUUGCAGAGGAUGUUUCUGGCGAGGUGCCUUCCGAGUGCCCUGGAACGGGACGCCAUAGAGGGUGAGAGCCCCGUACGGUUGGUCGCUAAGCCUCUGUGAAACUCCUUCGACGAGUCGAGUAGUUUGGGAAUGCUGCUCUAAAUGGGAGGUAUACGUCUUCUAAAGCUAAAUACCGGCCAGAGACCGAUAGCGCACAAGUAGAGUGAUCGAAAGAUGAAAAGCACUUUGAAAAGAGGGUUAAAUAGUACGUGAAAUUGUUGAAAGGGAAGCGCUCAUGACCAGACUUGGGCCGGUUGAUCAUCCGCCGUUCUCGGCGGUGCACUCUGCCGGCUCAGGCCAGCAUCAGUUUGGUCCGGGGGAUAAAGGUGUAGGGAAUGUGGCUCCCCCCGGGGAGUGUUAUAGCCCUGCGCGUAAUACCCUGGACUGGACUGAGGUUCGCGCAUCUGCAAGGAUGCUGGCGUAAUGGUUAUCAGUGACCCGUCUUGAAACACGGACCAAGGAGUCGUCUUCGUAUGCGAGUGUUCGGGUGUCAAACCCCUACGCGUAAUGAAAGUGAACGUAGGAGAGAGCUUCGGCGCAUCUCCGACCGAUCCUGAUGUUCUCGGAUGGAUUUGAGUAAGAGCAUACGGGGCCGGACCCGAAAGAAGGUGAACUAUGCCUGUAUAGGGUGAAGCCAGAGGAAACUCUGGUGGAGGCUCGCAGCGGUUCUGACGUGCAAAUCGAUCGUCAAAUAUGGGCAUGGGGGCGAAAGACUAAUCGAACCUUCUAGUAGCUGGUU
rnacentral:rRNA from 1 species